GAGUUUGAUCCUGGCUCAGGACGAACGCUGGCGGCGUGCCUAAUACAUGCAAGUAGAACGCUGAAGGAGGAGCUUGCUUCUCUGGAUGAGUUGCGAACGGGUGAGUAACGCGUAGGUAACCUGCCUGGUAGCGGGGGAUAACUAUUGGAAACGAUAGCUAAUACCGCAUAAGAGUGGAUGUUGCAUGACAUUUGCUUAAAAGGUGCACUUGCAUCACUACCAGAUGGACCUGCGUUGUAUUAGCUAGUUGGUGGGGUAAGGGCUCACCAAGGCGACGAUACAUAGCCGACCUGAGAGGGUGAUCGGCCACACUGGGACUGAGACACGGCCCAGACUCCUACGGGAGGCAGCAGUAGGGAAUCUUCGGCAAUGGACGGAAGUCUGACCGAGCAACGCCGCGUGAGUGAAGAAGGUUUUCGGAUCGUAAAGCUCUGUUGUAAGAGAAGAACGAGUGUGAGAGUGGAAAGUUCACACUGUGACGGUAUCUUACCAGAAAGGGACGGCUAACUACGUGCCAGCAGCCGCGGUAAUACGUAGGUCCCGAGCGUUGUCCGGAUUUAUUGGGCGUAAAGCGAGCGCAGGCGGUUAGAUAAGUCUGAAGUUAAAGGCUGUGGCUUAACCAUAGUAGGCUUUGGAAACUGUUUAACUUGAGUGCAAGAGGGGAGAGUGGAAUUCCAUGUGUAGCGGUGAAAUGCGUAGAUAUAUGGAGGAACACCGGUGGCGAAAGCGGCUCUCUGGCUUGUAACUGACGCUGAGGCUCGAAAGCGUGGGGAGCAAACAGGAUUAGAUACCCUGGUAGUCCACGCUGUAAACGAUGAGUGCUAGGUGUUAGACCCUUUCCGGGGUUUAGUGCCGUAGCUAACGCAUUAAGCACUCCGCCUGGGGAGUACGACCGCAAGGUUGAAACUCAAAGGAAUUGACGGGAGCCCGCACAAGCGGUGGAGAAUGUGGUUUAAUUCGAAGCAACGCGAAGAACCUUACCAGGUCUUGACAUCCCUCUGACCGCUCUAGAGAUAGAGUUUUCCUUCGGGACAGAGGUGACAGGUGGUGCAUGGUUGUCGUCAGCUCGUGUCGUGAGAUGUUGGGUUAAGUCCCGCAACGAGCGCAACCCCUAUUGUUAGUUGCCAUCAUUUAGUUGGGCACUCUAGCGAGACUGCCGGUAAUAAACCGGAGGAAGGUGGGGAUGACGUCAAAUCAUCAUGCCCCUUAUGACCUGGGCUACACACGUGCUACAAUGGCUGGUACAACGAGUCGCAAGCCGGUGACGGCAAGCUAAUCUCUUAAAGCCAGUCUCAGUUCGGAUUGUAGGCUGCAACUCGCCUACAUGAAGUCGGAAUCGCUAGUAAUCGCGGAUCAGCACGCCGCGGUGAAUACGUUCCCGGGCCUUGUACACACCGCCCGUCACACCACGAGAGUUUGUAACACCCGAAGUCGGUGAGGUAACCGUAAGGAGCCAGCCGCCUAAGGUGGGAUAGAUGAUUGGGGUGAAGUCGUAACAAGGUAGCCGUAUCGGAAGGUGCGGCUGGAUCACC
rnacentral:rRNA from 1 species